GCGUUGCUCGGUAUGACUGGGCGUAAAGGGCGCGUAGGCGGAUGGCUUUGUCGGUCGUUAAAUUCCAGGGCUUAACCUUGGGGCUGCGUUCGAGACGGGUUGUCUAGAGUUUGGCAGAGGGUCGUGGAAUUCCCAGUGUAGAGGUGAAAUGCGUAGAUAUUGGGAAGAACACCGGUGGCGAAGGCGGCGACCUGGUCCUUGACUGACGCUGAGGCGCGAAAGCGUG
rnacentral:rRNA from 1 species